GCACUCACUUCAGCAGCACAUAUACUAAAAUUGGAGUGAUACACAGAAGAUUAGCAUGGCCCCUAUGCAAGGAUGACAUGCAGAUUCAUGAAGCAUUCCAUAUUUUU
ensembl:snRNA RNU6-1303P RNA, U6 small nuclear 1303, pseudogene